rnacentral:rRNA from 1 species
GAUGAACGCUGGCGGCGUGCCUAAUACAUGCAAGUCGAGCGAACGGACGAGAAGCUUGCUUCUCUGUUGUUAGCCGCGGACGGGUGAGUAACACGUGGAUAACCUACCUAUAAGACUGGGAUAACUUCGUGAAACCGUAGCUAAUACCGGAUAAUAUUUUGAACCGCAUUGUUCAAGAGUGAAAGACGGUCUUGCUGUCACUUAUAGAUGUAUCCGCGCUGCAUUAGCUAGUUGGUAAGGUAACGGCUUACCAAGGCAACGAUGCAUAGCCGACCUGAGAGGGUGGUGGGACCCACUGGAACUGAGCCGCGGUCCAGACUCCUACGGGAGGGAGCGGAAGGGAAUCUUCCGCAAUGGGCGAAAGCGUGAAGGAGCAACGCCGCGCGAGGGAUGAGGGUCCUCGGAUCGUAAAACUCUGCUACUAGGGAAGAACAUAUGUGUAAGUAACUGUGCACAUCUUGACGGUACCUAAUCAGAAAGCCACGGCUAACUACGUG